AUGUACCACGCGUCCACUGCGGUUCUGAGCGCGCCGUGCGCGCCCACCUGACAGCU
rnacentral:sRNA from 1 species